UACGUAGGGGGCAAGCGUUAUCCGGAAUUACUGGGUGUAAAGGGAGCGUAGACCGUAAUGUAAGUCUGGAGUGAAAGGCGGGGGCCCAACCCCCGGACUGCUCUGGAAACUAUGUUACUAGAGUGCAGGAGAGGUAAGCGGAAUUCCUAGUGUAGCGGUGAAAUGCGUAGAUACUAGGAGGAACACCAGUGGCGAAGGCGGCUUACUGGACUGUAACUGACGUUGAGGCUCGAAAGCGUGGGGAGCAAACAGG
rnacentral:rRNA from 1 species